GAUGAACGCUGGCGGCGUGCCUAAUACAUGCAAGUCGAGCGGACAGACAAUAAGCUUGCUCCUUUGACGUUAGCGGCUGACGGGUGAGUAACACGUACAUCACCUUCCUCUUAUUCUUGGAUGACUUCGUGAAACCGGUUCCACUACCACAGCAUAUAUUCUACCGCAUGGUUCAAUAGUGAAUGACGGUUUUCGUGUCACAUAUAGAUGAAUCCGCGUCGGAUUAGCUAGUUGGUAAGGUAACGGCUCACCAAGGCAACGAUGCGUAGCUGACCUGAGAGGGUGAUCGGCCACACUGGAACUGAGACACGGUCCAGACUCCUACGGGAGGCAGCAGUAGGGAAUAUUGCGCAAUGGGCGAAAGCCUGACGGAGCAACGCCGCGUGAGUGAAGAAGGUCUUCGGAUCGUAAAGCCCUGUUAUUAGGAAAGAAAAAAAGUGGAAUAAACUCUGGAUGUUCUGACGGUACCCAAACAGAAAGCCCCGGCUAACUACGUG
rnacentral:rRNA from 1 species